GACGUAGGGCGCGAGCGUUGUCCGGAAUUACUGGGCGUAAAGCGUGCGCAGGCGGUCUGCUAAGAGAGAUGUGAAAUCCCCGGGCUUAACCUGGGAACUGCGUUUCUAACUGGCAGGCUUGAGUGUGGCAGAGGGGGGUGGAAUUCCACGUGUAGCAGUGAAAUGCGUAGAGAUGUGGAGGAACACCGAUGGCGAAGGCAGCCCCCUGGGCUAACACUGACGCUCAUGCACGAAAGCGUGGGGAGCAAACAGG
rnacentral:rRNA from 1 species